AUACGGAGGAUCCGAGCGUUAUCCGGAUUUAUUGGGUUUAAAGGGUGCGCAGGCGGCCAUUUAAGUCAGCGGUUAAAUCGUGGGGCUCAACCCCAUUCUGCCGUUGAUACUGGGUGGCUUGAUUGCGGUCGAGGUUGGCGGAAUUCGUUGUGUCGCGGUGAAAUGCAUAGAUAUGACGAAGAACACCGAUUGCGUAGGCAGCUGACCAUACCGCAAAUGACGCUCAUUCACGAAAGUGCGGGGAUCGAACAGGAUUAGAUACCCUUGUAGUUCGCACAGUAAACGAUGAAUACUUGUUUUCGGCGAUAUAAUGUCGGAGGCAAAGCGAAAGCGAUAAGUAUUCCACCUGGGGAGUACGCCGGCAACGGUGAAACUCAAAUGAAUUGACGGGG
rnacentral:rRNA from 1 species